UACGGAGGGUGCAAGCGUUAUCCGGAUUUACUGGGUUUAAAGGGUGCGUAGGCGGGAAGAUAAGUCAGUGGUGAAAUCUCGUCGCUUAACGACGGACUUGCCAUUGAUACUGUUUUUCUUGAGAUAGGUUGAGGUUGGCGGAAUGAGACAUGUAGCGGUGAAAUGCUUAGAUAUGUCUUAGAACACCGAUUGCGAAGGCAGCUGACUGGGCCUUAUCUGACGCUGAGGCACGAAAGCGUGGGGAUCAAACAGG
rnacentral:rRNA from 1 species